rnacentral:rRNA from 1 species
UACGUAGGGUGCGAGCGUUGCCCGGAUUUAUUGGGCGUAAAGGGCGCGUAGGCGGUCACGCACGUCCGUUGUGAAAUCGCUCGGCUCAACUGGGCGGGGUCAGCGGAUACGGCGUGGCUGGAGCAAGCUAGGGGGCAAUGGAAUUCCCGGUGUAGUGGUGGAAUGCGUAGAUAUGACAUAGAACACCGAUAGCGGAGGCAGCUUGCUACACAGUCAUUGACACUGAGGCACGAAAGCGUGGGGAUCAAACAGG